rfam:Brassica napus, WGS project CCCW01000000 data, contig: 14409
GUCGAGCUUAGUAACGCAGGCUUGUGAUCCAAGUGGAGACAACAAAGUGAUGGGACAUUGGGCUGAUCUCUUUGGGCCGGGUUCGGAUGGGCUAUCUACUGGCCUGCCCAUUCCAAGUCGGGAGUUGAGUGUUUGGACUCGAGCGAAGGCUUGCGGUUUGAACGCUCUUAGAGCGGAGGAGACUGCGUGAGGCUGGUUUCAGAGAGCAGCGUCCACCUCCCGCUUUCGACGGUGGAAGGAUUACGGGCCGGUGCCUUCCGAGCCCACUAUGACCCAAUAAGCCUGCUCCAACUGGACCAUCACUUUU